rnacentral:rRNA from 1 species
CCUACGGGUGGCAGCAGUGAGGAAUAUUGGUCAAUGGGCGCAAGCCUGAACCAGCCAAGUCGCGUGAGGGAGGACGGCCCUACGGGUUGUAAACCUCUUUUGCCGGGGAGCAACGGGCGGCACGUGUCGCGCCACUGAGAGUACCCGGAGAAAAAGCAUCGGCUAACUCCGUGCCAGCAGACGCGGUAAUACGGAGGAUGCGAGCGUUAUCCGGAUUUAUUGGGUUUAAGGGGUGCGUAGGCGGAUCGUUAAGUCAGGGGGAAAAUUGAGGGGCUCAACCCCUUCCCGCCAUUGAAAAUGGCGCUCUUGAGUGGAAGAGAAGUAGGCGGAAUGCGUGGUGUAGCGGUGAAAUGCAUAGAUAUCACGCAGAACCCCGAUUGCGAAGGCAGCAUGCCGGCUUCCGACUGACGCUGAAGCACGAAAGCGCGGGGAUCGAACAGGAUUAGAUACCCGUGUAGUC